GCCCCCUUGGCACAGUGGUAGCGCACUUCCUUGGUAAGGAAGAGGUCGUCAGUUCGAUUCUGACAGGGGGCU
rnacentral:tRNA from 2 species